CCCCGCCCCACGGCCGCCUUGAUUGACAGCCGCGCCGGCUCCCCGCACUACCAGCCUCCGGGUCCCAGCGCCUCCCGCCCCCGUGACCUCGCGGCGGCAGCCGGGUUGCCGCUCAGCGCCGGAUCGCAGUGCUUCCUCCAGAGACGCGUGGGGUCAGCGAAAGAUUAGUAACUACACCUCGCGGAGUGCUUGUCCCAUCUUUUCGCGUUUGGGCCUCACAACCAGCCCCCCUUGCGUCUCCAUUUCACGGAGGAGGAAACGGGCAGAGAGGGGAAUCAACUUUGUCAAGCCGUCGGUAUUUCCACCCAGACGGCUCUUAAAUGGUCAUUAUCCCACCUCCCCGACAAAGGAACGUCCCCGCAGCUGCAGGCGUUUUAGAAGGUUACUGUGACCCAGGCACGGUGCUCAGAGGGUCAGAUGAGAGCACACCACCCAGAAGCUCGCAGUCUAAUGAGCCAGGAGCAUGGCCAGCGGUGUGUCUUCUGGAGAAACAUUACACAAGUUCAAGGAGACAUAGACAGGAACGUUCACCGGCUCACUGAAAUAGAAAAUUGGAGACAACUCUAAGGAAACGAAUAAAUAAAAUGUGUCUAGUUGGAUGGAAUGCUGAGGAGUGAAAGGAAGUAAAUCAGAUCUACAUGGAUUAUGGACAGCUCUUGAAAACAAUGAUGAAUGAAGAUUGCUGAGUGAUAUUUAUAUUGUAACCUUUUCUGUAAAUAAAAACAACACUGAAGAUU